UACCAUGUCUUCUCCUUACAGUGUGGAGAAGGAGGGAGUCACAGGACUGGGCAGGGCUACAUGGCCUUGGGAAGCUGUCUGUUCUUCCUGAGCUUCCGUGUCCACUAGUCACCAAGGAGCUUGGGCACAGUCAAUGCUGGGGACCACUGUGACCUCAGGAUUCCAGGCAAAUGCUGCCAUUGCUGUUUGUAUUAGGGAGGUAAAUUUUGGUAGUGAAAGCAACCUUGGGGGCUUGAAAGGAUAAUCUGUGGAGAAGUGGAUGGAAAGUGGAGGAAAAAGAGCACCUCCCUGGUAAGGACUGUCAUUAUUCUUCACCCACAGGUCCUGUGGAACACUGAACAGAAAGAUCCCUCUGCGAGUCAGCCAGUGCCUUCUGGAUCUGCUUCAAGGUCAUGUGCCUGCAACUUGGGCCUGUCUGACCCCUCGGGUUUGCCUCUUGGUG
rnacentral:lncRNA from 1 species